rnacentral:rRNA from 1 species
UACGUAGGGGGCAAGCGUUGUCCGGAUUUAUUGGGCGUAAAGAGCGUGUAGGCGGCCAUGUAGGUCCGGUGUGAAAACUCGAGGCUUAACCUCGAGAUGUCAUCGGAAACCAUUUGGCUAGAGUCCGGAAGAGGAGAGUGGAAUUCCUGGUGUAGCGGUGAAAUGCGCAGAUAUCAGGAAGAACACCGAUGGCGAAGGCAGUUCUCUGGGACGGUACUGACGCUGAGACGCGAAAGCGUGGGGAGCGAACAGG